CUGAAAUCAAGUGUGACGACCCGCUGAACUUAAGCAUAUCACUAAGCGGAGGAAAAGAAA
rnacentral:rRNA from 1 species